ACUGGGGAUAAUUCCGGAUAGGCCACAGAUGCUGGAAUGCACUGUGGCUCAAAGCUCCGGCGCCGAAGGAUGGGUCUGCGGCCUAUCAGGGUAGUAGUGGGUGUAAUGUACCUACUAGCCUACGACGGGUACGGGUUGUGAGAGCAAGAGCCCGGAGAUGGAUUCUGAGACACGAAUCCAGGCCCUACGGGGUGCAGCAGGCGCGAAAACUUUACAACGCGGGAAACCGUGAUAAGGGAAUCUCGAGUGCCAGCAUAUAAUGUUGGCUGUCCAGAUGCCUAAAAAGCAUCUGUUAGCAAGGGCCGGGCAAGACCGGUGCCAGCCGCCGCGGUAACACCGGCGGCCCGAGUGGUAACCGCUUUUAUUGGGUCUAGAGGGUCUGUAGCCGGCCAUGUAAGUCCCUUGGGAAAUCUGGCAGCUCAACUGUCAGGCUGCUAGGGGAUACUGCUUGGCUUGGGACCGGGAGAGGUGAGAGGUACCUUGAGGGUAGGGGUGAAAUCUUGUGAUCCUCGGGGGACCACCAGUGGCGAAGGCGUCUCACCAGAACGGGUCCGACGGUAAGGGACGAAAGCUAGGGGCACGAACCGGAUUAGAUACCCGGGUAGUCCUAGCCGUAAACGAUGCUCGCUAGGUGUCAGUCACGGUGCGACCGUGAUUGGUGCCGUAGGGAAGCCGUGAAGCGAGCCACCUGGGAAGUACGGCCGCAAGGCUGAAACUUAAAGGAAUUGGCGGGGGAGCACUACAACGGGUGGAGCCUGCGGUUAUU
rnacentral:rRNA from 1 species